rnacentral:rRNA from 1 species
UACGUAGGGUCCGAGCGUUGUCCGGAAUUAUUGGGCGUAAAGAGCUCGUAGGCGGUCUGUCGCGUCGGCUGUGAAAACACGGGGCUCAACUCCGUGCCUGCAGUCGAUACGGGCAGACUAGAGUUCGGUAGGGGAGACUGGAAUUCCUGGUGUAGCGGUGAAAUGCGCAGAUAUCAGGAGGAACACCGGUGGCGAAGGCGGGUCUCUGGGCCGAAACUGACGCUGAGGAGCGAAAGCGUGGGGAGCGAAAAGG